rnacentral:rRNA from 1 species
UGGGGAAUUUUGGACAAUGGGGGAAACCCGUGAUCCAGCCAUCCCGCGUGUGCGAUGAAGGCCUUCGGGUUGUAAAGCACUUUUGGCAGGAAAGAAACGUCGCGGGUUAAUACCCCGCGAAACUGACGGUACCUGCAGAAUAAGCACCGGCUAACUACGUGCCAGCAGCCGCGGUAAUACGUAGGGUGCAAGCGUUAAUCGGAAUUACUGGGCGUAAAGCGUGCGCAGGCGGUUCGGAAAGAAAGAUGUGAAAUCCCAGAGCUUAACUUUGGAACUGCAUUUUUAACUACCGGGCUAGAGUGUGUCAGAGGGAGGUGGAAUUCCGCGUGUAGCAGUGAAAUGCGUAGAUAUGCGGAGGAACACCGAUGGCGAAGGCAGCCUCCUGGGAUAACACUGACGCUCAUGCACGAAAGCGUGGGGAGCAAACAGGAUUAGAUACCCUGGUAGUCCACGCCCUAAACGAUGUCAACUAGCUGUUGGGGGCCUUCGGGCCUUGGUAGCGCAGCUAACGCGU